CAGCCGCCGCGGGAAUACGUAGGGUGCAAGCGUUAAUCGGAAUUACUGGGCGUAAAGCGUGCGCAGGCGGUUUGUUAAGACAGAUGUGAAAUCCCCGGGCUCAACCUGGGAACUGCAUUUGUGACUGUAGAGCUGGAGUGCGGCAGAGGGGGAUGGAAUUCCGCGUGUAGCAGUGAAAUGCGUAGAUAUGCGGAGGAACACCGAUGGCGAAGGCAAUCCCCUGGGCCUGCACUGACGCUCAUGCACGAAAGCGUGGGGAGCAAACAGGAUUAGAUACCCCAGUAGUCCCUGUCUCUUAUAC
rnacentral:rRNA from 1 species